rnacentral:rRNA from 1 species
UCUAACAUGUGCGCGAGUCAUUGGGUUGACACUAAACCUAAAGGCGCAAUGAAAGUGAAGGUCCCGCCUCGUGCGGACCGAGGGAAGAUGGGCCGCGCUGCUGUGCGGCUCCGCAUUCCCGGGGCGUCUCGUUCUCAUUGCGAGUUGAGGCGCACCCAGAGCGUACACGUUGGGACCCGAAAGAUGGUGAACUAUGCCUGGCCAGGACGAAGUCAGGGGAAACCCUGAUGGAGGUCCGUAGCGAUUCUGACGUGCAAAUCGAUCGUCGGAGCUGGGUAUAGGGGCGAAAGACUAAUCGAACCAUCUAGUAGCUGGUUCCCUCCGAAGUUUCCCUCAGGAUAGCUGGUGCUCGAACGAGUCUCAUCCGGUCAAGCGAAUGAUUAGAGGCCUUGGGGCCGAAACGACCUCAACCUAUUCUCAAACUUUAAAUGGGUGAGAUCUCCGGCUUGCUUAAACAUUUUUGAAGCCGCGAGAUUUUUCUUGGAUCGGAUGC